CUACUUGCCUGGCAAGGGAGACACCAUGAUCGGAGAGAUGGUUUUCCCAGGGUGAGGCUCAUCCCUUGCACUCCAGGUGGGCUGACCCCUGUGAUUUCCCCAAAUGCAGGAAACUCAACUGCAUAAUUUCUGCUCUGCACUAGAAUAAUAACAUCUAGUC